rnacentral:rRNA from 1 species
UACGAAGGGGACUAGCGUUGUUCGGAAUCACUGGGCGUAAAGCGCACGUAGGCGGAUUCGUAAGUCAGGGGUGGAAUCCCGGGGCUCAACCUCGGAACUGCCUUUGAUACUGCGGGUCUUGAGUCCGAUAGAGGUGGGUGGAAUUCCUAGUGUAGAGGUGAAAUUCGUAGAUAUUAGGAAGAACACCGGUGGCGAAGGCGGCCCACUGGAUCGGUACUGACGCUGAGGUGCGAAAGCGUGGGGAGCAAACAGG